rnacentral:misc_RNA from 1 species
GACGUAGGGACCGAGCGUUGUCCGGAUUUAUUGGGCGUAAAGCGCGCGCAGGCGGCCGCGCAAGUCGGAUGUGAAAACCCGGGGCUCAACCCCGGGCCUGCAUCCGAUACUGCGUGGCUAGAGGCAGGUAGGGGAGAUCGGAAUUCCCGGUGUAGCGGUGAAAUGCGCAGAUAUCGGGAGGAACACCGGUGGCGAAGGCGGAUCUCUGGGCCUGUCCUGACGCUGAGGCGCGAAAGCUAGGGGAGCGAACAGG